rfam:Fukomys damarensis contig99017, whole genome shotgun sequence.
UUACAGAAGGAAAACACAGGGGGAGGGAGAGGUCCUGUUGACUAAGAGGAAUGGACCCAGUUGGGGAAGCCUGCCGGCUCCAGGCUAUGCCCAUCU